rnacentral:rRNA from 1 species
ACUCCUACGGGAGGCAGCAGUAGGGAAUCUUCCACAAUGGGCGCAAGCCUGAUGGAGCAACACCGCGUGAGUGAAGAAGGGUUUCGGCUCGUAAAGCUCUGUUGUUAAAGAAGAACACGUAUGAGAGUAACUGUUCAUACGUUGACGGUAUUUAACCAGAAAGUCACGGCUAACUACGUGCCAGCAGCCGCGGUAAUACGUAGGUGGCAAGCGUUAUCCGGAUUUAUUGGGCGUAAAGAGAGUGCAGGCGGUUUUCUAAGUCUGAUGUGAAAGCCUUCGGCUUAACCGGAGAAAGUGCAUCGGAAACUGGAUAACUUGAGUGCAGAAGAAGGGUAGUGGAACUCCAUGUGUAGCGGUGGAAUGCGUAGAUAUAUGG